GCGAGUGAAGCGGCAACAGCUCAAAUUUGAAAGCUGGCCCUUUCAGGGUCCGCAUUGUAAUUUGUAGAGGAUGAUUCGGCGAGGGCUCCCGCCUAAGUCCCCUGGAACGGGGCGUCAUAGAGGGUGAGAAUCCCGUAUGCGGUGGGCUGCCUUAGCCAUGUGAAUCUCCUUCGACGAGUCGAGUUGUUUGGGAAUGCAGCUCUAAAUGGGAGGUAAAUUUCUUCUAAAGCUAAAUACCGGCCAGAGACCGAUAGCGCACAAGUAGAGUGAUCGAAAGAUGAAAAGCACUUUGGAAAGAGAGUUAAAAAGUACGUGAAAUUGUUGAAAGGGAAGCGCUUGCAACCAGACUUGUCCGCAGUUGCUCAGCCGGUCUCCUGACCGGCGUACUCUUCUGCGGCCAGGCCAGCAUCAGUUCGGGCGGUCGGAUAAAGACCUCGGGAAUGUAGCUCCUCUCGGGGAGUGUUAUAGCCCGGGGUGGAAUGCGGCCAGCCUGGACUGAGGAUCUCGCUUCGGCAAGGAUGCUGGCGUAAUGGUUGUAAGCGGCCCGUCUUGAAACACGGACCAAGGAGUCUAACAUCUAUGCGAGUGUUUGGGUGUCAAACCCAUACGCGUAAUGAAAGUGAACGGAGGUGGGAACCCGCAAGGGUGCACCAUCGGCCGAUCCUGAUGUCUUCGGAUGGAUUUGAGCAAGAGCAUAGCUGUUGGGACCCGAAAGAUGGUGAACUAUGCCUGAAUAGGGUGAAGCCAGAGGAAACUCUGGUGGAGGCUCGCAGCGGUUCUGACGUGCAAAUCGAUCGUCAAAUUUGGGUAUAGGGGCGAAAGACUAAUCGAACCAU
rnacentral:rRNA from 1 species